GCUACGGGAGGCAGCAGUGAGGAAUAUUGGUCAAUGGGAGAGAUCCUGAACCAGCCAAGCCGCGUGAGGGAAGACGGCCCUAUGGGUUGUAAACCUCUUUUGUCGGAGAACAAAACCCGGGACGUGUCCCGGACUGCGUGUAUCCGAAGAAAAAGCAUCGGCUAACUCCGUGCCAGCAGCCGCGGUAAUACGGAGGAUGCGAGCGUUAUCCGGAUUUAUUGGGUGUAAAGGGAGCGUAGGUGGAUUGUUAAGUCAGUUGUGAAAGUUUGCGGCUAAACCGUAAAAUUGCAGUUGAAACUGGCAGUCUUGAGUACAGUAGAGGUGGGCGGAAUUCGUGGUGUAGCGGUGAAAUGCGUAGAUAUUAGGAGGAACACCGGUGGCGAAGGCGGCUUACUGGACCGUAACUGACGUUGAGGCUCGAAAGCGUGGGGAGCAAACAGGAUUAGAUACCCGAGUAGUC
rnacentral:rRNA from 1 species